GGAUUGUGGCUCAGUGGUAGAGCACUUGACUAGCACCUGAGAGGCCCUGGGUUUGAUCCUCAGCACCA
rnacentral:tRNA from 1 species